rnacentral:rRNA from 1 species
UACGUAGGUGGCAAGCGUUGUCCGGAUUUACUGGGCGUAAAGGGAGCGUAGGUGGAUAUUUAAGUGGGAUGUGAAAUACUCGGGCUUAACCUGAGUGCUGCAUUCCAAACUGGAUAUCUAGAGUGCAGGAGAGGAAAGUGGAAUUCCUAGUGUAGCGGUGAAAUGCGUAGAUAUUAGGAAGAACACCAGUGGCGAAGGCGACUUUCUGGACUGUAACUGACACUGAGGCUCGAAAGCGUGGGGAGCGAACGAGGAU